GAUGAACGCUGGCGGCGUGCCUAAUACAUGCCAGUCGAGCGAACAGACGAGGAGCUUGCUCCUCUGACGUUAGCGGCGGACGGGUGAGUAACACGUGUAUAACCUACCUAUAAGACUGGGAUAACUUCGGGAAACCGGAGCUAAUACCGGAUAAUAUAUUGAACCGCAUGGUUCAAUAGUGAAAGACGGUUUUGCUGUCACUUAUCGAUGGAUCCGCGCCGCAUUAGCUAGUUGGUACGGUAACGGCUUACCAAGGCAACGAUGCGUAGCCGACCUGAGAGAGUGAUCGGCCACACUGGAACUGAGACACGGUCAAGACUCCUACGGGAGGCAGCAGUAGGGAAUCUGACGCAAUGGGCGAAAGCUUGACGGAGCAACGCCGCGUGAGUGAUGAAGGUCUUCGGAUCGUAAAACUCUGUUAUUAGGGAAGAACAAAUGUGUAAGUAACUAUGCACGUCUUGACGGUACCUAAUAAGAAAGCCACGGCUAACUACGUG
rnacentral:rRNA from 1 species